rnacentral:rRNA from 1 species
CAACUGUGUGAAUUAAUGUGAACUGCAUACUGCUUUGAACAUCGACAUCUUGAACGCAUAUUGCGGCCAUGGGUUAGCCUGUGGCCACGCCUGUCCGAGGGUCGGCUUACAAACUAUCACGACGCCCAAUAAGUCGUGGCUUGGAUUUUGCCAGCUGGCUUUAAUCCCCAGACGGGAACGUCAGGGGUGUCAGAUCUAUGGCGUUAUCCUAAUGUGUCCGGAUACACACAUCUGGUUAUUAAACAGAUGGAGAUGUGUCUACGGAGUCGUGGCUCAGUAUUAUUCAUGCGCGCUCUGUAAAACAUCUCGUGUGUUAAUCCGAAAUAUUGCCUUCCAAUCCUGACCUCGGAUCAGACGUGAUUACCCGCUGAACUUAAGCAUAUCACUAAGCGGAGGAAAAGAAACUAACAAGGAUUCCCCCAGUAACGGCGAGUGAACAGGGAAAAGCCCAGCACCGAAGCCUGUGGCCAGUUGGUCAUUAGGCAAUGUGGUGUUUAGGUCGUUCCGCAGAAGCGCUGCUCCACCCCAAGUCCAUCAAUGAGUACGGUAGUACAGACAUGGCCCAUGGAGGGUGAAAGGCCCGUUCGGGUGGA